GUGACCUCAAAUCAGGUAGGACUACCCGCUGAACUUAAGCAUAUCAAUAAGCGGAGGAAAAGAAACUAACAAGGAUUCCCCUAGUAACUGCGAGUGAAGCGGGAAAAGCUCAAAUUUAAAAUCUGGCAGUCUUUGGCUGUCCGAGUUGUAAUCUAGAGAAGUGUUAUCCGCGCUGGACCGUGUACAAGUCUCCUGGAAUGGAGCGUCAUAGAGGGUGAGAAUCCCGUCUUUGACACGGACUACCAGGGCUUUGUGAUGCGCUCUCAAAGAGUCGAGUUGUUUGGGAAUGCAGCUCAAAAUGGGUGGUAAAUUCCAUCUAAAGCUAAAUAUUGGCGAGAGACCGAUAGCGAACAAGUACCGUGAGGGAAAGAUGAAAAGAACUUUGGAAAGAGAGUUAAACAGUACGUGAAAUUGCUGAAAGGGAAACGCUUGAAGUCAGUCGCGUUGUCCAGGGAUCAACCUUGCUUUUGCUUGGUGCACUUUCUGGUUGACGGGUCAGCAUCAAUUUUGACCAUUGGAAAAAGAUUAAGGGAAUGUGACAUCUUCGGAUGUGUUAUAGCCCUUGGUUGCAUACAAUGGUUGGGAUUGAGGAACUCAGCACGCCGCAAGGCCGGGUUUUUAACCACGUACGUGCUUAGGAUGCUGGCAUAAUGGCUUUAAUCGACCC
rnacentral:rRNA from 1 species